CCCGUUUGAGAAAUACAACCCGAGUCCAAUUUUCAAUAUGCAAAUUACAGUGUUUUAGUAACAAGGGGUUUUGAGGUACUCAUCAAUGGAGAAUAGAAAAUUUGUAGUGAAGGAACUCCUCAAGGACAAGAAGCUCUGGUUCGCUUCAUUCCUCAUUGUCUGGGCUGCUGCUCUCCAGGGGCACAUGAUGUGGUUGCAGAGGCAAGAUUCCUUCAAGGACAAGUUUGGAAACCUAAAUGAUGAAGGCACAGAUCAACAGGAGCUGGCAGAUAAUCAAUGACCCCGGUUGAAUCUGUGGAAAUAAGGCAAUGAUUGCAUAUGAGUUAUAUACAUAUAGAGUAGUACUAGAAAAACAGUCGAGAGCAAUACUGGAAACGGUACCACAAAGAGAAGCUUCAGUUGCUUACUACUCACAGAUGAUAGAUAAACAGGAGAAACUAUUGGCCUCCACUUUUUGGAUCCUGAACUCUCAUUAGUUACUUCAAUGUACGUUUUAUCAGACUCUCAAUCCUCAGGUCACUUGUUUAUGAACUCACGUUUGGUUCGUCUUAUGGUAUCAAUUACCUCUUCUAAGAUGCUUUGGUAGUCUACUUUUGAUAUGUAAAUGAAGGACUACAAUGUUCUGCUAAACCAACAUUUGAUAUUGUAAUCUUAUGUUUUGGUUUAUUUAGAGAAAGAAGAGGGAUUCUUCUUUUCUUAAGGUGAUUCACUUUGUAAUAACUAAGUUCACCCUUUCACAAAAUUGAAAGCAUUGUUAUUUAAUGAUAUGUUCAUUCUCAAUAA